AUGCCUCAUCCCUUCCUAAAAUCUUCACCAAUUCUUCCACAAACUCCUCCACUGGUUUGUUUUGGAAUUAUGUGGAUUCGCCAGAGGCCCGGGAAGGCGCUGGAAUGGGUCGCAGGGAUUGACGAUGAUGACGACACCUACUACGCGCCGUCAGUGCGGGACCGGUUCACAAUCUCCUGGGACAACGGGCAGAGCUCGGUGAUGCUGACCAUGAACAACCUCAAGGACGAGGAUUCCGGCGCCUAUUUCUGUGCCAAAUAUGCUUAUGCUGGUUUUUGGGGUGCUGCUGCUGGUGUUGGUUUUUGUGGUUUGGUGCCAGCAGGGAAAUUUGGUGCCCACGGCUCAGGGUUGGGUGACCCGCAGGAAUCCUCAGUGUAA